UUUUAGCCCCGAUUGUAGCAAGCUACCAUGUAGCGCGAAAAGCGGGAAAGCAA
rnacentral:misc_RNA from 1 species